rnacentral:sRNA from 1 species
AGAACAUUAGCAGCAAUAAGAAUUUAAGUGUAAUAUAAAUAGCAGACUUGGUUUAUAAAUUAAAUGUCUUUUGUAGCAUGAGUUUUCACUCCCUUCUUUCUUCCCCUCUCAUUUAAAAAAUCAGGGUGCGUCUUUUGGGAGCUUUAGAACACAAGGAUGUUAGAAAUGUCUUAGUUCAAGGACAUAUUUUUCUGAAUACCUCCCUUACUGAAGCAUUCUGCAUGGCGAUCGUGGAAGCAGCCAGUUGUGGUUUACAGGUUGUAAGUACCAGAGUUGGUGGAAUUCCUGAGGUGCUUCCAGAAAACCUUAUUAUUUUAUGUGAGCCUUCAGUAAAAUCUUUGUGUGAAGGAUUGGAAAAGGCUAUUUUCCAACUGAAGUCAGGGACAUUGCCAGCUCCAGAAAACAUCCAUAACAUAGUAAAGACUUUCUACACCUGGAGGAAUGUUGCAGAAAGAACUGAAAAGGUAUAUGACCGGGUAUCAGUGGAAGCUGUGUUGCCAAUGGACAAACGACUGGACAGACUU